CCUACGGGAGGCAGCAGUGGGGAAUAUUGCGCAAUGGGCGAAAGCCUGACGCAGCGACGCCGCGUGAGGGAUGACGGCCUUCGGGUUGUAAACCUCUUUCAGCAGGGAAGAAGCGCAAGUGACGGUACCUGCAGAAGAAGCACCGGCUAACUACGUGCCAGCAGCCGCGGUAAUACGUAGGGUGCAAGCGUUGUCCGGAAUUAUUGGGCGUAAAGAGCUCGUAGGCGGUCUGUCGCGUCUGGUGUGAAAACUCCAGGGCUUAACCCUGGACCUGCAUCGGGUACGGGCAGACUAGAGUGCGGUAGGGGAGAUCGGAAUUCCUGGUGUAGCGGUGAAAUGCGCAGAUAUCAGGAGGAACACCGGUGGCGAAGGCGGAUCUCUGGGCCGUAACUGACGCUGAGGAGCGAAAGCAUGGGGANCGAACNGGAUUAGAUACCCUGGUAGUCCAUGCGUAACGUAGGUCGCGUAGUGUGGCGU
rnacentral:rRNA from 1 species